GGGGUGUGCUCAGAGCGGGGGACCUGAAGAAACGGGCCUCUGUUUACAGCACACCUGACAGCAAUCUGGGUUCAUCGCGACCAGGGGCACAAAACUUGUAGCCUUCCUAUGAACAGAUACCCUACACGU